UUUGCAGAUACACAGCUCACUUGUGGGUCACUAUUUACUGGCUUCACGGCCAGUGAGCUGCAAAAGAUCAGUCUUACCCUGGAAUGGUGUGUGUUGAAGCUUGAAUCGCAGCCCUGUAACACCUGCAAGUGGUUGGAGUUCCGCAGCCGUGGCAUAUCCAGAAACUCAGUUUCAGGCCGUCUCGCAGCCACAAAAUCCUGGGACCCUACAGCCAAGAGCAGGAGAAAUUGACGUCCCAAUUUCUGGACAGAGGUGCAGUUCCCGAGCAAGACUUUGAGCAGCUAGACCAUCAGUGAUGCUCUCAGCUGUCCAUACGGCCAGUUUUUGUAUCCUCAGUUGGACAUUCUUACACUGGCAUCAUAUAACUCGAGGGAUUUGUCAACUGAUAUUUUUGGCAGUUGUAAGGAGAUUUGUACCGGAAUUCCUUGCCCGGCAUUAAUUCAAGCUUCCAUUCAGAACUGACAAUGGAAAUACUUUAUCUUUGACAACCCAAGCACAUCAGAAAACCUCUCGUGUUGGAACAUUUUAACACCAAUGCUGUUCUAGUGGAGGCUGGGAAGUAGCAGGAGAAUGAGUUAGUGGUGGGAAUUAAGUCAAAGGAAACCGUCAGGGCGAGCAUGUGCCCUUCCACCUGUGGACAGUAGCACAUGGACAGGAAGCGACCCCAUCAGGAACCACCAGGAGGCAUGGCGUGAGACCCCCCGACCACCAUGCAUCGAGCAGAGCAGAGUCUUCCUUAGGACAACUACCCAUUAUUUGAAGAACUUCAGUCAGAUGCCUCUGUGCCCCCAAAGAGUUCAGCUGAAACAAGUACUCGCCUCAACCUUUACUGGGUCAAGUCUUAGCAUCAUGCAUCCAACUCGGAGAAGCUUGGUGCUGCUGAAAACAAAGCACCACCGCCCCCCCCCGCCCCCGCAAAGUCUGUUCAUCUUUCCCAGAUGAAUGAAAACAAGACUUUCUGGAUUAGUUGAAGAAAUCGUCUGUUAAGCUUUGUUCUUCAAUCUCCUGCAGUUACUCGUAGCCCCUUUAACUUUUCUCCCAAGUAGACCAUCAGUGUUAAAGAAAUGUGAUUUCAGGUUUUAUGGCUGGGUUGGGAAGUUAGAGUUUCCACGCUGACGGUCAGUCAACCCCACUGCAUGCACAUCUUUAGGCCUCAGUUUUCGUGAGAACAAGAACAGCCUCCUGGGCGCAAGGUGGUGGCUGUGAAGGUUACCCUGAGGACAAAGGCCUUGAUUUCACAGACACCUGUUCCUGAGUGACAGUCUUAAAGCAGAAAGUGCCCCU